rnacentral:rRNA from 1 species
CAGCCGCCACGGGAAGACGAACCGUGCGAACGUUAUUCGGAAUCACUGGGCUUAAAGCGCGUGUAGGCGGAUGGGAGCGUCGGCCUCUGAAAUCCCCCGGCUCAACCGGGGAAGUGGAGCCGAAACGACCCGUCUGGAGGGACGUAGGGGGACCUGGAACUUCCGGUGGAGCGGUGAAAUGCGUUGAGAUCGGAGGGAACGCCCGUGGCGAAAGCGAGGUCCUGGACGUCUGCUGACGCUGAGACGCGAAAGCCAGGGGAGCGAACGGGAUUAGAUACCCCCGUAGUCCCUGUCUCUUAUA